rnacentral:tRNA from 1 species
AGGGGUGUAGCUCAAUUGGCAGAGCGGAUGAUUCCAAAUCAUCAGGUUGCGGGUUCGAUUCCUGCCGCCCCUGCCA